GUAAAGCUCACAUUUCAAACUCCUCUCUGGUGCCUCUCUAUGGUCGUGGGAUAUCAUCAUUAGAGUCUGAACCCAAGAAGGAUCAGGCAGAUGUAGACAUACCUCAUAGGCCUCGAGCUAUUAGGACGAUGACACCGCAUAAUUCAGACUCUCCAAUCUCUCGCUUACAUCAGAGACUUCGUCAAACUUCUGUCUACCCUCCACGACCCUCCACAUUUCAACAUCACCGGCAAUAUCUCCCCCAAGCCUUUGGUAACUACGCAGCUUUGGCUCCAUCUAGCUUUGGGAGCACAGCAAUGACCAGUUUGUUCAGCCCAGUGGUUGGUGUGUUUGGAGAACUGUUUUCUUCAAGACUGUUUGGAAUCGCUUAUCCUCAUCCUAGAUCUUAUCUCAUCCGAGGACGCAGUGGUCUUAGAAUGAGAAGGGAAGAAAUGCAGAUGGACAAAUUUCUCAACAGAUUGUUCAUCUUUCUUUUCUGCUGCUCUAUCUUGUGCCUACUCCUGUUUUGAGGUUCAUAUAAUGUUUAUCUUCAUCAUAUAUUUGUAUAAAUAUGUGGUUGUGCUUACAACAAUCAGGUAAUAGUUCAUAGUAGACAAAUAUAGACUAGUAAGAGAUUUAGUAGAAAUAUAGCUUUAU
rnacentral:misc_RNA from 1 species